rnacentral:rRNA from 1 species
GAUGAACGCUGGCGGCGUGCCUAAUACAUGCAAGUCGAGCGAACAGAUGAGGAGCUUGCUCCUCUGACGUUAGCGGCGGACGGGUGAGUAACACGUGGAUAACCUACCUAUAAGACUGGGAUAACUUCGGGAAACCGGAGCUAAUACCGGAUAAUAUAUUGCACCGCAUGGUUCAAUAGUGAAAGACGGUUUUGCUGUCACUUAUAGAUGGAUCCGCGCCGCAUUAGCUAGUUGGUAAGGUAACGGCUUACCAAGGCAACGAUGCGUAGCCGACCUGAGAGGGUGGUCGGCCACACUGGAACUGAGACAGGGUCCAGACUCCUGCGGGAGGCAGCAGUAGGGAAUCUUCCGCAAUGGGCGAAAGCUUGACGGAGCAACGCGGCGUGAGUGAUGAAGGUCUUCGGAUCGGAAAACUCUGUUAUUAGGGAAGAACAAAUGUGUAAGUAACUAUGCACGUCUUGACGGUACCUAAUCAGAAAGCCACGGCUAACUACGUG